UCGGCGGUGUACUGGGCCAGAUCUUUCACUGCCUUCUCCUUCAAGAGCACCAUCUUGGACUGGGCCUCCACCCUGACAAACAGAUUCAGUAGAGGGUAGCCAGGGUAUUGCUGUACCUUGUCCAGUCUGCGGUACAGCUGCUGGAAUCUGGCUUUCUCCACUCGCAGUGUGUCCAGCUCCUCUCGCAAAUGGCCGUUCUUGGUCAGCUGCUCGUUAAACCGGGGUUCGGCAGGCUUUCAGGGUGUGCAGGGGCUGAGGUCUCUGGGCCUGGGUCGCACUGGGCCCUCCUCUUCUCUGACUUCCCAGCUUGCGCUCCAGCUGGAGGAUCUGUCACCCGUGGAAACGUAGGACAAGUACAAUGGAAUCUAUCCACCUCCUGAGCUUGCAUCGUCCUCAAACCUCUGACCACCGACACAAAGACCCUUCUAACCUUGGACCUCUCGGCUACUCCUUUUCAUCUCGCCCCUUUUGGAUUUGUGUGCCUCGUUGCUUUCUCCACCCGCAUUUGACCUCGCCUGGAACUACUGGCCACUCUGCUGCCUCGCUCUUCUCGGACUCGUAAGCCAUCGGACUCUCUUAGAGACCCCCUCGGGGGUUCAGAACAACUCGUUCGUAAUAGUGCUUGAAAAACACGCUCUCUCAUCUCAUCUGGGGAGUAGCAGUGCGUGAUCAGAGCUGUUUUGCAGCUCGUCGAUACAAAUGCACAGCAGCAAUGCAGGGGUGAAAAAAUCCACAGCAUGACUGACAAAAUCGUUUCGCUUAAACAAAGCCUUUGUUGUUUUGUCUCUUUUACAAAUCCACAAUAAGCUCAACAGGAUGAAAUGAAAAGCCCCUGGAUUUAGUAUUUGUCGUCAAGCAUGCAUUUGUUAUA